rnacentral:rRNA from 1 species
GAUGUCAAAGAAUGAAACUUCGAUAGAUUUCUUUUUCGGAAAGCGGCGGACGGGUGAGUAACGCGUAGGCAACCUGCCCUUCACAGGGGGAUAGCCACCGGAAACGGUGAUUAAGACCCCAUAACGCGAAGAUGUCACAUGGCAAUUUCGCCAAAGAUUUAUCGGUGAAGGAWGGGCCUGCGUCUGAUUAGCUAGUUGGUGAGGUAACGGCCCACCAAGGCGACGAUCAGUAGCCGAACUGAGAGGUUGAUCGGCCACAUUGGAACUGAGACACGGUCCAAACUCCUACGGGAGGCAGCAGUGGGGAAUAUUGCACAAUGGGCGAAAGCCUGAUGCAGCAACGCCGCGUGAAGGAUGAAGGUCUUCGGAUCGUAAACUUCUGUCCUUGGGGAAGAAACAAAUGACGGUACCCUUGGAGGAAGCCCCGGCUAACUACGUGCCAGCAGCCGCGGUAAUACGUAGGGGGCGAGCGUUAUCCGGAAUUAUUGGGCGUAAAGAGUGCGUAGGUGGUCACCUAAGCGCAGGGUCUAAGGCAGAGGCUUAACUUCUGUUCGCCCUGCGAACUGGGCGACUUGAGUGCAGGAGAGGAAAGCGGAAUUCCUAGUGUAGCGGUGGAAUGCGUAGAUAUUAGGAGGAACACCAGUGGCGAAGGCGGCUUUCUGGACUGAAACUGACACUGAGGCACGAAAGCGUGGGGAGCAAACAGGAUUAGAUACCCUGGUAGUCCACGCCGUAAACGAUGAGCACUAGGUGUCGGGGUCGCAAGACUUCGGUGCCGGAGUUAACGCAUUAAGUGCUCCGCCUGGGGAGUACGCACGCAAGUGUAAAACUCAAAGGAAUUGACGGGGACCCGCACAAGCAGCGGAGCAUGUGGUUUAAUUCGAAGCAACGCGAAGAACCUUACCAGGACUUGACAUCCUCCUGACAGACCUUUAACAGGGUCUCUYSWWCGSMCMGGAGAGACAGGUGGUGCAUGGUUGUCGUCAGCUCGUGUCGUGAGAUGUUGGGUUAAGUCCCGCAACGAGCGCAACCCUUGCCGAAAGUUGCCAUCAUUAAGUUGGGCACUCUAUCGGGACUGCCGGGGACAACUCGGAGGAAGGUGGGGAUGACGUCAAAUCAUCAUGCCCCUUAUGUUCUGGGCUACACACGUGCUACAAUGGCCGGUACAGAAGGAAGCGAAGGAGCGAUCCGGAGCGAAUCCCCAAAGCCGGUCCCAGUUCGGACUGCAGGCUGCAACCCGCCUGCACGAAGUCGGAGUUGCUAGUAAUCGCGGAUCAGCAUGCCGCGGUGAAUGCGUUCCCGGGUCUUGUACACACCGCCCGUCACACCA